GCCGGUGUAGCUCAGCUGGCAGAGCAACUGAUUCGUAAUCAGUAGGUCGGAGGUUCGAGUCCUCUCACCGGCACCA
rnacentral:tRNA from 1 species